rnacentral:rRNA from 1 species
AUACGGAGGGUGCAAGCGUUACUCGGAAUCACUGGGCGUAAAGCGCGCGCAGGCGGUCUUUUAAGAUGGAUGUGAAAGCCUACGGCUCAACCGUAGAACUGCAUCCAAAACUAUUAGACUAGAGUGUGGGAGAGGAAGAUGGAAUUAGUUGUGUAGGGGUAAAAUCCGUAGAGAUAACUAGGAAUACCAAAAGCGAAGGCGAUCUUCUGGAACAGUACUGACGCUGAGGCGCGAAAGCGUGGGGAGCAAACAGGAUUAGAAACCCUUGUAGUCC